rnacentral:lncRNA from 1 species
AGCCAGGGGAUAGCAGAUAAGGGUGUUCAUUGGCAUCUGAAAGGAAUGGGAGGCAUCUGGAGAGGUGGGCAUGUUAUUUGUCUGGGCUUAAAGGCUUAAGGCGGUGGUUCUCAACCCAGGGUGAUUGUCUGUUUUGGUUGUCACAACUGAGGUGGGGGCUGCUACUGGCAUAUCCAGCAUAGAGGCCAGGGAUACUCCUAAACACCCUACAAUGUUUAGGAUGGCUCCCCAUAACAAAGAAUCAUCCAGAACAAAUUUGUGAAUGUUGGAGUUCCCAUCGUGGCUCAGUGGUUGUGAACCCAACCAGUAUCCAUGAGGAGGCAGGUUUGAUCCCUGGCCCCACUCAGUGGGUUAAGGAUCUGGCAUUGCUGUGAGCUGUGGUGUAGGCCAGCAGCUAUAGCUCCGAUUCGACCCCUAGUCUGGGAAUGUCCAUAUGCUGUGGGUAUGGUCUUAAAAAAACAACAACAACAAAAAAAGUUUGUGGAUGUUGAAAUCAGUAUACAAUGCCAGUUUUCAUUUAUAUCUACUCAUUCUACCACCUUGACUUGAGGUUAAGUCUCUCAUACCUCACAAAGUCAUUUCCCAGCUAAUAUAGUAAUGGCAUGGCACAAUAGGAGAAUGGGUUAGAAAUACUCAGGCACAUUCUGCCAGAGAUUAGGGCUCAACUCUUUCUCCCAAGCUGUAGGCAAGCUCUCCCUCCUUGAACUGCCUCGGGCUCUAUCGGUCCUCUUAGAGAUUUUGAAACUUUAUCUCAUCUGAGCCCAGUCUCUUCAUCUCGCAUCCUUCAUGGCAGCCAGGUGAGUGUUUUUGUCCCUAGAAGCUACUCAAUGAAUGUUUGCCAACCACCUAGGCCAGCGAGGCCAAACUAAAGCUCAGUUUCCAAGGCAUUCAUUCCACCAUGUUUAUCUUUGGUUUGAGAAGAGUGGUCAUAUGUAAUUUCAGGGCCCAGUUCCGUGGAAAGAGGGCCAGUGCCCCAUUAAUAGCCUUUUCCUGUUGGUUAUUUGCCUCCCUGGGACUCCAGCAGCUUCUCAUGUUUUUGGCCUCAAGGCCCCAGUGGAAAUAGAAAACAGCAUGCUUUUUACCCACCCAGCCUCUAUUCCUUGCCCACAUAGACAUUUGCUGUGUGCUUCCUGUGUGCUAAGUGAUUCUGGACAGACGAAUCUAACACUGUCCCAAGUGGCCCGUGUGGUGUGAAGCGUAGGAAACUAUCCCUCUCUUUACAAGUUCUGACUUCAGUGAGGGGGACAGCUGGGCCUGUAGAUCAUCCUGAUAGAUGGAUUAAAUGUCUUAGUAGAAAUGCAUACAGAGUGUCUGUGAGAAUGGAGAAAAAGAAGGGGAGGGGAGGGAAAGUUGGCAAGGCCACAUUUUACCUGCCUGAACGGAGACUCAGAAGGUGCUCGGAGGGAAUGUGAUGCCUAGAAUGGGUUCUUCCUUCACCUAAAGAAACAGGUAGCCAGGAAAGGAAGCUGUGGCAUCCACACUGCUGCCAAGGCAACCUGACCAUCUCUUCUCAUGGUUUUCACACUCUGGAGAGCCCGUUACUUGGUGCUUGAAAGCAGUGGAUGACUAUGCAGCUCCCCAAACCCUAAACCCCUUGAUAGUUUGCACAUGACUCAGCUGCUCCAUCAUCUCCUCUCGUGCCCUCCCCCAGCCGCAGUCACACUUCCUAAUUCCUGGCUAUGUCGUAAAUGUUUUUGACGCCACAGGGCGCCAGGUAGUCCGUCCUUUCCUGGUUUGGAAAGCAUCUUCUAUGGGUGAUUUUUCUACCCCUUAAAGUUUCACUUAUCUUCAGUCCAAAUGUCAAAGAUCCCUUUCUUCAGGAACCCCUUCCACCCUGGUAGAAAUCAUUGCCUUUGUCACAGCUCAUCAUACUCAAGUUUUGCUUCAUGGAAGCGCUAGGAGUAUGCAGUCUCUCUCUUCUGCGCUCCCUGAGGUCAUUUAGAAUGUUUUUCCAUCUGUUUGUGUAUUUGUUCCACUCGCUCCACCCAGGGUUAACUUUUAACUGUAUGAAUGCAUAGCAGGUGCCGAAGAAAGGUCCGUUGUUGACAAAGAUGAUAAGCAGUAUAAAUGUUUCAUUAUAUUUUUUUUUCAGGAAUAGGUAUGUACCUACCAAAAGGACUCUUGUGCUUCAGAGAAAUAGAAAAUCUUUUCAACUUUCACCAGCAUUCCGCUUUUAAUGGUGUUCCUAAAUACACAGACCGCCCCGGUACAGAGGGGAUAUUAAAGUUCAAAGAGACAGAGAAAUCAGGUUGAAGAUGGUAAGUGAGCAGACUCUUAAGGGAAUAAGAGCAUUUCCUCAUUUCUGGAUCGGAGCAGAAAUGUCUGUAAUCCAGAUAUUUAAAACUUGUCUGAGUGACUAGGUGGGGGAGGUUUCACAGAACAGCCCGGAGCAGGGCCCUCAGGGAUGAACUUGAUGUGAUUGUAAAGGUCAUAUCUAGCCCCAGGGCCUCGGAUUCCUUGAUAGCACAUCUGCUUUUGAUUGCAUGGGUUCUGAGCACCGGCUUAGGGCAGGACGCCAUCUGAAGGAGGAAAUACUAAGCUUGUCUGCAGGUCUGGAUGUUCCCACAAUGGGAGACCAGCUAAGCCCUGUGGCUGCAGGAAAGACACUGGAGCUUUGUCUCCAAGGCCCCACACGUGGAGAACUUGGCAGCCCACUCGGGCCUCUCAGAACCAAUGAAAUGGAGCUGGCAGAGAUGCAAAGCUAGGGAAAGUGGACUUGACAGGAGCCGGAGAUGAUUGUUUGAAGGAGGGAUACCAUGGUCGUUAAGAGGGAAGGUUGGGAAUCAGAAUCAGACCCACACUGUAGUUCUGGUAACUCCACUCACUGGCCCUCGUGUGACCUCAGGAGGCUUACUGGUUCCUGGUUUGUAACAUGCGGGGUUUACUGAGACACUGCCUGCCAGGCAUUUAGGGCUGUGCCUUAUCGCUCAAUCAUGUUCGGCUGGCUCUUCUUUUAUAAUUUAACUUCGGCUUGCUCCAUCUGGGGAGAUAACAUGACUAAAUGCUUUGAAAUUUGAAAGAAAGGCAGAAAAAGAAAAAAACACCACCCCAGAGUGCUGUUUAGAAUAGUGGAAGUCUCAGCCGAGCAGCACCGGCUCCCCGCUGGGUGCAGAUGUGAGGGGCCCUGCUCCUCGGGCAAGUGCACUUGCUACCCAGUGAGAGCCAGCCAGGGCCACCAAGUCACGUGAGCGGAGGCGGCGAAAGCUGCAAAAACACAUGUGGCCGGAGCAGGCACAAGGAGGUGAUGCCGGCCCUGGGAGGUCCCUGAGGCUGUAUGGGACCGGGAUUCCUUGGAACGCUGCAGAGGGCAGGACUAUGUAAACAAGAGAUCAAAACAAUGGCCUUGCUGGCCCUUCAGCGUGAUAAAUGUUUGUCCUGAAUGUGUAACAGGAGUCAGACCACCACCAUCUUUUUGUAGUUGGAGUUUUAAGAGGACCCAGGAGAGGACUCACUGGUGUGAGUUGGGGGAAGUCCUUUCAGCUGGCUUGUCUCCCUGGUGGCUGAACCCACUUCUAGGGGCAGACAGCCCCCUGCAUUUUCAAAGCCCAGCCUGCCUGCAUGACCCCUCCCAAGCAAGGGGCCACGGGGCAGGCUGCUCAGAGACUCUCAUCAUUCUUAGCCAACUGGAGAACCCCUCCCCCAUGGCGUGGGAAAGAGGGGCCAGCUUCAUCCAAAUUACGCCCAUCAUCCCAGGACCACCAAAGACCAUGUCUGUGAGUUCAGAAAAGGGAAGUUUAAUGGGAAGGGAAACAGUUCAGCCAGGUGUGUUCAGGAUCGUAAAACCCACAUAACUUUUAGCAGCUCUUCUAACUUUUUCUAUCUACCUCAGUUGCAUUGAGACCAAAAGCCCUUGGCCUUGGCUCACAGCCCCUCACUGCUGUGUCUUGCACAUCUUCUCUUAGAAGCAGAAAGUACAGGAGAGAAAACAUUUCCUGUUAAAUAUCCCAAAACACGUGGCUGCUUUAGUUUCUGCUAUAGAGUGAAACUGGCAGGUUGUUAUGACUCAGCUGGUCCUCCCAGACAGAUAGACAGAGAGAGAGUUCAAUCAAUUCAUAAUCUAUUGGAUGAAAAGAUCACUGGGAUGAUUGAAACAGCUCUCUAAGAUCUAACCAUCUUCUAUUUCAUCAUGAUGACCGCAAAUGUUAGCAUCUCCAUUUGACCAUUUAUCAUUCUGUCUUUUCUGUCAGGAGUGCCAAAUUAACGUUCAACCCUUGCUGAUGUUUGUUAUUUCAUUUAGGAAGUAUUAGCGAUAAAGCCAUUUAUCUGAGAGUGUUUGACUUGCUGUUUCUGUUAUCUGGCCCCUACGUUAACAGCAUUUGGGGCCAGAAAGUGAUUAUCAACAUUAUGCCCAAGAAAGAGGGUUCAGGCAUGCUUGAAUAAGUAUCCAAAGGUGAGGGGGCAGCUGAGGACAGUCCUAGGAGCCUGGUGGGGGUCAGGCCGAAAGUCAUGGGUGAUGGCUAUAGGUUCAAAAUGGUUGGGGAAGACCUCAGAGAUGUGUGUGCACAUAUGUGCAUGUGUAUGUGUGUGCAUACAUGUGUGAGUGUGUGUGUGCAGUCAGGGCUGGGGUAUGAUGAUGAUGUGAUGUGAUGAUGCCUGGGACUAGGUUUUCAACAUGGCAUAUGACCAUUUGUAUGGGUGCCCAUCUGAGGUCUAAUUAGAACAUCUGUGUGCAGGCAAUGCCUCCAUGAGUUCCAAUAAGCCACAGCACUGUUGAUUGCAGGAAUCUUGGCAAGGUAGCUGCCUUGGAGGAUAUCAAGCUCCAGGGCUUUCUUCCUAUUCUGGAUUUUUCUGUGCUGUCUUAUCAGUGGCCCUAUCGACUGGAAUUCAGGCCACAAAGUUUGAAUUCAGGCCCGAGCUGAAGGCACUCAGCAAACUCAGAUCUCAGCUGGGGAAGGGGCCUGAUAGAUCUGGAUCCAAGCAGGCCCUCCCGGCCCCUCCUUUUGGGUACACUUUGGGCCAGUCCCCUCUGUUCUCAGUUUCCUAUUUGUUAGCUCAGACUCUUAUUUCUCAGGGUGUGAUCGCAAGAAACUAAAUAAAAUAAUUCAUAUGACAUCUUUUUAGAAAGUAAUAAAAAGAUGAUUCUAUAUUGGAUUUUACUGAGGGUAAACACUGUGCACACGAUAAAAGCAGUCCAGCCCCAGAGAAGAUAUACCUGAAUGGGGAAAUUUUGGGUGUUUGGGAAUUACAUUGCAUAACAUCCCUUCUGGAUGUUUUUAUUGAAUGCCUACUUUGUGCCCUGCUUAGUGCAAAUAUGAAAAGGGGCCUGGUUCCUCUGCUCCAGUGUUUCAUAGUUUUGUUGAGGAAACUGACAAGGUCUUAGUCUUAGUUACCCAGAAAGCAGAGGAUUAGUGGGAUAUUAUUGUGUUAGGGAGUUGUUAUGGGCUGGAUUGUGUUUCUCCCAAAUUUGUGUGGUGAAGUCUCAGUAACUCAGAAUAUGACUGUAUUGGAGGGUAGGGUAUUUCUAGAGGUAAUUAAGGUACAAUGAGAUCAUUGGGAGGGCCCUCAUCUGACCAGUGCCCUUUUAAGAAGAAAUUAGGACACACGCAUGUAUGCAGGGAAGGCCAUGUGAAGAUACAGGGAGAAGAUGGCCAUCUGCAAGCCACAGAGAGGUCUCAGAAGAAAGGCCUCAGAGUUCCCGUCGUGGCGCAGUGGUUAACGAAUCCGACUAAGAACCAUGAGAUUGCGGGUUCGAUCCCUGCCCUUGCUCAGUGGGUUAAAUGAUCCGGCAUUGCCGUGAGCUGUGGUGUAGGUUGCAGAUUUAGCUCAGAUCCUGUGUUGCUGUGGCUCUGACGUAGGCCGGUGGCUACAGCUCCGAUUGGACCCCUAGCCUUGGAAUAUCCAUAUGCCGCGGGAGCGGCCCAAGAAAUAGCAAAAAG